rnacentral:rRNA from 1 species
UAACUUUGUGCGGUGGAUCACUCGGCUCGUGCGUCGAUGAAGAGCGCAGCCAGCUGC